rnacentral:rRNA from 1 species
AACGAACGCUGGCGGCAGGCCUAAAACAUGCAAGUCGAACGCCCCGCAAGGGGAGUGGCGCACGGGUGAGUAACGCGUGGGAACGUGCCCUUCACUACGGGACAACGUCGGGAAACUGACGCUAAUACCGUAUAAUGACUCCGGUCCAAAGAUUUAUCGGUGAAGGAGCGGCCCGCGUCUGAUUAGCUAGUUGGUGAGGUAAAGGCUUACCAAGGCGACGAUCAGUAGCAGGUCUGCGAGGAUGAUCGGCCACACUGGGACUGAGACACGGCCCAGACUCCUACGGGAGGCAGCAGUUAGGAAUAUUGGACAAUGGGCGAAAGCCUGAUCCAGCCAUGCCGCGUGUGUGAUGAAGGCCCUAGGGUUGUAAAGCACUUUCGUUGGGGAUGAUAAUGACCGUACCCAAAGAAGAAGCACCGGCUAACUUCGUGCCAGCAGCCGCAGUAA